GUUGGGAAUCUUGGACAAUGGGGGAAACCCUGAUCCAGCCAUGCCGCGUGAGUGAUGAAGGCCUUCGGGUUGUAAAACUCUUUCGACGGGGACGAUAAUGACGGUACCCGUAGAAGAAGCUCCGGCUAACUUCGUGCCAGCAGCCGCGGUAAUACGAAGGGGGCUAGCGUUGUUCGGAAUUACUGGGCGUAAAGCGCGCGCAGGCGGCUAUCCAAGUCAGUGGUGAAAGCCCGGAGCUCAACUCCGGAACUGCCAUUGAAACUGUUUAGCUUGAGGACGAGAGAGGUGAGUGGAAUUCCCAGUGUAGAGGUGAAAUUCGUAGAUAUUGGGAAGAACACCGGUGGCGAAGGCGGCUCACUGGCUCGUAUCUGACGCUCAGGCGCGAUAGCGUGGGGAUCAAACAGGAUUAGAUACCCCAGUAGUCC
rnacentral:rRNA from 1 species